rnacentral:rRNA from 1 species
AGAGUUUGAUCCUGGCUCAGGAUGAACGCUGGCGGCGUGCCUAAUACAUGCAAGUCGAGCGAACUGAUUAGAAGCUUGCUUCUAUGACGUUAGCGGCGGACGGGUGAGUAACACGUGGGCAACCUGCCUGUAAGACUGGGAUAACUUCGGGAAACCGAAGCUAAUACCGGAUAGGAUCUUCUCCUUUAUGGGAGAUGAUUGAAAGAUGGUUUCGGCUAUCACUUACAGAUGGGCCCGCGGUGCAUUAGCUAGUUGGUGAGGUAACGGCUCACCAAGGCAACGAUGCAUAGCCGACCUGAGAGGGUGAUCGGCCACACUGGGACUGAGACACGGCCCAGACUCCUACGGGAGGCAGCAGUAGGGAAUCUUCCGCAAUGGACGAAAGUCUGACGGAGCAACGCCGCGUGAGUGAUGAAGGCUUUCGGGUCGUAAAACUCUGUUGUUAGGGAAGAACAAGUACAAGAGUA